GACGAACGCUGGCGGCGUGCCUAAUACAUGCAAGUAGAACGCUGAAGGCGUAGCUUGCUUCGCUGCACGAGUUGCGAACGGGUGAGUAACGCGUAGGUAACCUGCCUGGUAGCGGGGGAUAACUUCUGGAAACGAUAGCUAAUACCGCAUAAUAGUAGAUGUUGCAUGACAUUUGCUGAAAAGUUGCAGUUGCAUCACUACCACAUGGACCUGCUGUGUAUUAGCUAGGUGGUGGGGUAACGGCUCACCAAGGCGACGAUACAUAGCAGCCCUGCGAGGGGGAGCGGCCACACUGGGACUGAGACACGGCACAGACGCCUAGGGGAGGGAGCAGUAGGGAAUCUGCGGCAAUGGGCGGAGGUCUGACCGAGCAAGGCCGCGUGAGUGAAGAAGGUUGUCGGGUCGGAAAGCUCUGUUGUAAGGGAAGAAAGAGUGUGAGAGUGGAACGUUCCGAGUGUGACGGUAACGUAUCAGAAAGGGACGGCUAACUACGUG
rnacentral:rRNA from 1 species